rnacentral:rRNA from 1 species
CGCUGGCGGCGUGCUUAACACAUGCAAGUCGAACGGGCUGCCUGGUUUUCGGAUCGGGUGGUGAGUGGCGAACGGGUGAGUAACACGUGAGUAACCUGCCCCUCUCUUUGGGAUAACGUCGGGAAAUCGGCGCUAAUACCGGGUAUUCUGGCUUCCUCGCAUGGGGUUGUUGGGAAAGGUUUUUUCUGGUGGGGGAUGGGCUCGCGGCCUAUCAGCUUGUUGGUGGGGUGAUGGCCUACCAAGGCGGUGACGGGUAGCCGGCCUGAGAGGGUGUCCGGCCACACUGGGACUGAGACACGGCCCAGACUCCUACGGGAGGCAGCAGUGGGGAAUAUUGCACAAUGGGCGGAAGCCUGAUGCAGCGACGCCGCGUGGGGGAUGACGGCCUUCGGGUUGUAAACCUCUUUCAGUGCAGAACAAGGCUCUUUGUGGGUUGAGGGUAUGCGCAGAAGAAGCGCCGGCUAACUACGUGCCAGCAGCCGCGGUAAUACGUAGGGCGCGAGCGUUGUCCGGAUUUAUUGGGCGUAAAGAGCUCGUAGGCGGUUUGUCGCGUCUGCUGUGAAAUCCUCUGGCUUAACUGGGGGCGUGCAGUGGGUACGGGCAGACUGGAGUGCGGUAGGGGAGACUGGAAUUCCUGGUGUAGCGGUGGAAUGCGCAGAUAUCAGGAGGAACACCGGUGGCGAAGGCGGGUCUCUGGGCCGUUACUGACGCUGAGGAGCGAAAGCAUGGGGAGCGAACAGGAUUAGAUACCCUGGUAGUCCAUGCCGUAAACGUUGGGAACUAGGUGUGGGGUCCAUUCCACGGGUCCUGUGCCGUAGCUAACGCAUUAAGUUCCCCGCCUGGGGAGUACGGCCGCAAGGCUAAAACUCAAAGGAAUUGACGGGGGCCCGCACAAGCGGCGGAGCAUGCGGAUUAAUUCGAUGCAACGCGAAGAACCUUACCAAGGCUUGACAUGCAUUCGACGUCUCCAGAGAUGGGGGUUCCGUAAGGCGGGUGCACAGGUGGUGCAUGGUUGUCGUCAGCUCGUGUCGUGAGAUGUUGGGUUAAGUCCCGCAACGAGCGCAACCCUUGUUCCAUGUUGCCAGCGGGUGAUGCCGGGGACUCAUGGGAGACUGCCGGGGUCAACUCGGAGGAAGGUGGGGAUGACGUCAAAUCAUCAUGCCCCUUAUGUCUUGGGCUUCACGCAUGCUACAAUGGCCGGUACAAAGGGUUGCGAUCCUGUGAGGGGGAGCGAAUCCCAAAAAGCCGGUCUCAGUUCGGAUUGGGGUCUGCAACUCGACCCCAUGAAGUCGGAGUCGCUAGUAAUCGCAGAUCAGCAACGCUGCGGUGAAUACGUUCUCGGGCCUUGUACACACCGCCCGU